AACUCUAAUGCGUAUUCCUUAAGAAAUACACCGAGACAUAAGCGUUCCUUUCCUUCUGUUCCGUUCAAUACCCCCUUUACAAACACGUAACCUCUUUUACACUAGUCAGCUAAUACCAAAAUCUCAUUUGUAUAGUCCCAGUGUUAACCUCCCCUGCUAUUAGUCAAUGAAAAAGGAAGUGCUUUAGACACCCACUGUCUGUACGCUGUGAACAGAUGAAUUCAAGUUUUCACCUUCUCCCGACCGUCUGUCUGAAUCAAAGCAUUACACUUAGUUCCCGCCCUGUCUUCGUCAGAUAGUACAUCUGCUAAUGAAGCAUGUCCUAGAGCUAAGCUCGUUAAAAGUUCGGUUAUCUUGUGACCAUACUUGAUCGAGUAGUUCUCUAGCAGGAUUAUCCCCCUUGUCGUUGCAGCUGAUCGUAAGCAAAGUGUAGCAAGUUAUGUAAUAAAAUUUGUCAAGCAACUCCCAU